rnacentral:rRNA from 1 species
AAUCUGGUUGAUCCUGCCAGUUGUUAUAUGCUUGUCUCAAAGACUAAGCCAUACAUGUCUAAGUACACACGAAUUAAAAGGGAAACCGCAAAAGGCUCAUUAUAUCAGUUAUGGUUCCUUAGAUCGUUAACAGUUACUUGGAUAACUGUGGUAAUUCUAGAGCUAAUACAUGAUUUUAAAACCAAACCUUAUGGGACGUGUGUUUUAUUAUGCUAAAACCAAGCGAUCGUUACAUUCGUUGAACUCUAGAUAACAUGCAGAUCGUAUGGUCUUGUACCGACGACAGAUCUUUCAAAUGUCUGCCCUAUCAACUUUUGAUGGUAGUAUCUAGGACUAGGAAAUAAGACUUCUAUUCUGCUUUCAUUGGUUUUCAGAUCAAGAGGUAUUGAUUAAUAGAAGCAGUUUGGGGGCAUUAGUAUUACGACGCGAGUGGUGAAAUUCUUGGACCGUCGUAGGACCAACUUAAGCGACAGCAUUUGCCAAAGAUGUUUUCAUUAAUCAAGAACGAAAGUUAGAGGUUCGAAGGCAAUAAGAUACCGCCCUAGUUCUAGCCAUAAACGAUGCCAGCUAGCAAUUGGGUGUAGCUACUUUUAUGGCUCCCUCAGUCGCUUCCCGAGAAACCAAAGCUUUUGGGCUCCGGGGGAUGUAUGGUUGCAAAGCUGAAACUUAAAGGAAUUGACGGAAGGACACCAAGAGUGGAGCCUGCGCCUUAAUUUGACUCAACACGGGAAAACUUACUAGGUCCGAAUAUAAGUGUGUAAGACAGAUUGAUAGCUCUUUCUCGAAUCUAUGGGUGGUGGUGCAUGGCCGUUCUUAGUUCGUGGAAUGAUUUGUCUGGUUAAUUCCGAUAACGAACGAGACUCAAAUAUAUAAAAUAGAUAUCUUCAGGAUUAUGGUGUUGAAGCUUAUAUAGCCUUCAUUUAUGGUGGCAGUAAAAUGUUUAUUGUGUUUGAAUAUGUUUAUAUAAGUGGAGCCGUACCUGUUGGUUUGUCCCAUUAUAAGGACACUAGCUUCUUAAAUGGACAAAUUGCGUCUAGCAAUAAUGAGAUUGAGCAAUAACAGGUCUGUGAUGUCCUUAGAUGUCCUGGGCUGCACGCGCGCUACAAUGAAAGUUCCUAGACCUAGAGAUCCGGGUAAACCGCUGAACCACUUUCAUGCUUGGGAUUGUGAACUGAAACUGUUCACAUGAACUUGGAAUUCCCAGUAAGUGUGAGUCAUUAACUCGCAUUAAUUACGCCCCUGCCCUUUGUACACACCGCCCGUCGCUACUACCGAUUCAAUUAUUUAGUUAGGUCUCCGAAAGUGAUCACUGUGACGCCUUUCGUGUUACGGUUGUUUCGCAAAAGUUGACCGAACUUGAUUAUUUAGAGGAAGUAUGUUUCUUGUAUGUUUCUACCGUUACCAAAA